CCCUUAGAUGUUCUGGGCCGCACGCGCGCUACACUGAUGCAUUCAACGAGUUUCUUCCUGGUCCGAGAGGAAUGGGUAACCUUUUGAAAGUGCAUCGUGAUAGGGAUAGACUAUUGCAAUUAUUGGUCUUCAACGAGGAAUUCCUAGUAUACGUAGUUCAUCAGACUGCAUCGAUUACGUCCCUGCCCUUUGUACACACCGCCCGUCGCUCCUACCGAUUGAAUGCUCAGGUGAGCCAUUCGGACUUUCAUCAUGCUGGUUUCCAGUUUUGAUGAAGGAAAGUCUUGCGAACCUUAUCAUUUAGAGGAAGGAGAAGUCGUAACA
rnacentral:rRNA from 1 species